UGAUUCCGGGGAACUGCACAUAGGUAAUUCAGUUUGACUUUGCAACAGAGAAACGGCAGAAAAGAGGUGGAAGCGGAAGAAGAUUUCAUCUCUCCAAGCUCCAACUAUGAACUCCCUCCGGCAACACGCGACUGUCGUCACUGUUGUAAGUCUUCGACACAUAUGAAUAUAUCGUAUUAUUUUUAAUUCCA